UCCGACUUUGAGCCGGCAGUCUCCCAAGAAAUUAGCAACAUGGGACAAGGGUUGCGCUCGUUUACGGACUUAACCGAACACCUCAAGGCACGAGCUGACGACGACCAUGCAGCACCUGUCAUCGGGUUCCUUACGGCACCCCACUGUUUCCAGCGGGUUCCCGAGAUGUCAAGUCCAGGUGAGGUUCCUCGCUUAGUAUCGAAUUAAACCAGAUGCUCCACCGCUUGUGUGGGCCCCCGUCUAUUCCUUUGAGUUUUAAUCUUGCGACCGUACUCCCCAGGCGGGAUACUUAACGCGUUAGCUCUGACACUGAUCCGUCGAUAAACUUCGGACCAACAUCGAGUAUCCAUCGUUUAGGGCGCGGACUAC
rnacentral:misc_RNA from 1 species